UACGUAGGGGGCAAGCGUUAUCCGGAUUUACUGGGUGUAAAGGGGGCGCAGACGGCGAUGCAAGCCAGGAGUGAAAGCCCGGGGCCCAACCCCGGGACUGCUCUUGGAACUGCGUGGCUGGAGUGCAGGAGGGGCAGGCGGAAUUCCUGGUGUAGCGGUGAAAUGCGUAGAUAUCAGGAGGAACACCAGUGGCGAAGGCGGCCUGCUGGACUGCAACUGACGUUGAGGCCCGAAAGCGUGGGGAGCAAACAGG
rnacentral:rRNA from 1 species